rnacentral:rRNA from 1 species
UGGGGAAUAUUGCACAAUGGGGGAAACCCUGAUGCAGCGACGCCGCGUGAACGAAGAAGGUAUUCGUAUCGUAAAGUUCUGUCCUAUGGGAAGAUAAUGACAGUACCAUAGAAGAAAGCUCCGGCUAAAUACGUGCCAGCAGCCGCGGUAAUACGUAUGGAGCGAGCGUUGUCCGGAAUUAUUGGGCGUAAAGGGUACGCAGGCGGUUUAAUAAGUCGAAUGUUAAAGAUCGGGGCUCAACCCCGCAAAGCAUUGGAAACUGAUAAACUUGAGUAGUGGAGAGGAAAGUGGAAUUCCUAGUGUAGUGGAGAAAUACGUAGAUAUUAGGAGGAAUACCAGUAGCGAAGGCGACUUUCUGGACACAAACUGACGCUGAGGUACGAAAGCGUGGGGAGCAAACAGG